rnacentral:rRNA from 1 species
UACAGAGGUCCCGAGCGUUGUUCGGAUUCACUGGGCGUAAAGGGUGCGUAGGUGGCGAUGGAAGUUUGAUGUGAAAUCUCCGGGCUUAACCCGGAAAUGGCAUUGAAUACCCUAGCGCUUGAGGUUUGGAGGGGGGACUGGAAUUCUCGGUGUAGCAGUGAAAUGCGUAGAUAUCGAGAGGAACACCAGUGGCGAAGGCGGGUCCCUGGACAACACCUGACACUGAGGCACGAAAGCUAGGGGAGCAAACAGG